rnacentral:rRNA from 1 species
GACGAACGCUGGCGGCGUGCUUAACACAUGCAAGUCGAGCGGUAAGGCCCUUUCGGGGGUACACGAGCGGCGAACGGGUGAGUAACACGUGGGUGACCUGCCCUCAGCUCUGGGAUAAGCCUGGGAAACUGGGUCUAAUACCGGAUAUGACUCCAUGACGCAUGUUGUGGGGUGGAAAGCCUUGUGCGGCUGAGGAUGGGCCCGCGGCCUAUCAGCUUGUUGGGGGGGU